rnacentral:lncRNA from 1 species
CUGGGCAAGUUUCAGAAACUGACAACAUUUUACUUUUUCUUCAACAUGUAUAGUACACUCAAAAACCUUCUCUUAAAAUGCCCUGUAAUUAACCUAGGAUACAAGAGAGAAAAUGGUUAACAGAACAACAAAGACAAUUUGUCAUCAGGAUUUUCAUUAAACCAUUCAGUAUUAUAGGAAUUAAUUUUGGUAGUGCUUUGCCCUGAUUACUGCCUGUCCGAUUGGAUACAGGCAUCCAACAGGAUAUUUGCAUGGACAGUGUUUGCUCCCAUCCUACAUCAGUGUUAUGAAGGAAUUAAUGAUUUUUCUUUCUCUGCUGAAAAAUUGACUGAAUAAUAUCUGUGCUGCACCCGGCUGCUUAUAAGAGUGAAGCAUAAACCAUCUGAGUAGCUGUAUUUAAUUCUUCAAGCAAAACUGUAAAACUGGGUCUUUGGGACACAGCCUUAAUCAAGGAAAAUUAAAUUCUUUAAGGGUUAAAAGCUGUCGGAAGUUGCUGUUUCAUUGCAGAACUACAUAUCUGGCUUGAAUUUUAAAAGACGUGAUUGAAAGUACAUGGGCAACAGACUGAGGUACUGUCUUUUACCAUCCAGUGAGCAGUGUUGAAGAACAGUACAGAAAAGGCUGUGUGUUCCAGUCAGCUGCAGAAGAGCAGUUGUACUCAUUUUAUAUACCAAUAAGACAUUAGGACAAAGAUUUUUAACAACAGAAACAGUAACUGAAAUAGUACCAGGCACCAUUGUAUACGAGUAUGCAUAGUGGAAGCCUUUGCAGCUUUUGUUUUAUCAAAAAACUGUUAAACUAAGAAGUUUUUAAAUUUUUCUUUUUAUUCCCAAAUAUUUAAUGAAAAGCAAAGCUCCAGAAAAUUUCUCUUAUCCUUCUGGAGUCUGGUUUCUCAUGCAGAAUGAGUCGAGGUUUUAAUAUUAGAUAGUUUACU